rnacentral:rRNA from 1 species
UACAGAGGGUGCGAGCGUUGUUCGGAAUUAUUGGGCGUAAAGCGCUUGUAGGCGGCACGAUAAGUCUACUGUGAAAGCCCUAGGCUCAACCUAGGAAGAGCAGUAGAUACUGUCGAGCUUGAAUGUCGGAGAGGGUCGCGGAAUUCCCGGUGUAGAGGUGAAAUUCGUAGAUAUCGGGAGGAACACCAGUGGCGAAGGCGGCGACCUGGACGAACAUUGACGCUGAGACGCGAAAGCGUGGGUAGCAAACAGG